rnacentral:tRNA from 1 species
GAUAAAGUGGCUGAGGUAUAAGCGGUAGAUUGUAAAUCUAUAGACAAGUUAAACUUCUUUAUUA